rnacentral:lncRNA from 1 species
AAAAACAAAAGCACAUUACUUCAUUUUUUAUACCAAAAGAAUAAAAUGUUUUCACAUCAUAGAGUAACGUCUCUGCAAAAUAAAGAAGUCUAAAUAUCUCAACCCAGUUAUAAGUGAAACUGAAAAUUUCUAAUAAGCUAAGCCAUAUUGAAUCAUCAAAAUCCCAAAUAACAAGGCCAAAGAAAGAUACCACACACAAACCUAGCAAACAGCCACAUAAAAACAAGGAAAUCUUUCCUCCUUUCUAUCCA